GGCCCGUUCCGGGCGGCUCGACGCGGCCUGCUCCGGCCGCCGUGCCGUGGGAAGGCGGCCCCGGACGCGGGUGGGGUCCGCGGAGCGAGGGACCGCCGGAGAAGGAAGCGCCGAAAGCCGCGCGGGGAGCCGCGCGCCAGCGACCCGAGAGUGGCCCGGGCGGCGGUGCUCGGGCCUGCGGACGGCGGGGCGGAGCCGGGCUGCGGAACGGCGGACAGCGGGGCUGCCGCUGCCCGUCCUGCUCCGGGAGGGACCGCUCCCGCGGGCGGCAGCCCGAGCCCUCCGAAGGACUGGGACCGCUCCCCGACGGCUCGGGGACCGCUGAUGAGAUAUCAAACUCGGUUCGAGCGCGGAGUGUUGUGCUUUGCUUUAUAGUUCCGCGGUAGGAAUUGCGCGGCGUACGGGGCCGGCCGUUCGGAGUGAGCCCAGCUGGCAGCAAUCCUCACCGAAAGACGGAAAAAAUAAUAAAGCGGUCAGAGCACGUGUAGGCAGCCUCUUACGGCCAGAAUUCGUGCGACGGAGCUGCCCGUUAACCCACUGGACAGAAGAAACCAUUUCGUAGCCAGCAAGCAUUCCUGAGUUUUGAUGUAAUCGGCUUUGUUCAGAAGCAUGAUAUUGAAACGUUGACCCAGGACUACUUAGCAUGUUAUUUUUUGCUUAUCUUUCAAGGACUUAUUGCUCUCAAAGGACCCAAGGACCUUCCCCUCUUCUCUUCCCCCUUACCCCCACGAAAAAAAAGAGGAAAAAAAAGGAAGUGUGCUUUGUCACCAAUUGCACAAUGAAUCACAUUUCAGAAUUAGCAUCAGCUUCCUGUUUAUCUUGGAGGGCAAAUUUACAGCACUGCACUGUUCUUGGUGAUGCCUACUUAGUCUGUGUUCACUGAUAGCCCAUUGUGGUGCCACACACAUGAAAGAAAAAAAGGGAAGGAUUUCAGGGAGAAGAACUGAACAUUGGGGUGAUAAUUGCAGUUUCUCACCUAAUAGAGAAAGUUGCUUUAAGUAAAAACUUCAAUUCCAUUGUAUAUUGUUAUGGUCAGAUUUUAUGAAAAUACGCAAGCUAAAUUAAGUAAUCAGUUAUGAAGUCUCACAGCCUGCCUGUCUGCAGUCUGACACACUGCAGCACAAGGACAGUAAGGGGCCUGUGCAGGUAAACACACGGCGCCACCAGAAAGAAGGACCUGGUCAUUCUGUGUUGCUGUCAGUUGUUCUUACUGUCAAGUGAUAAUAAUUUCUUGAGGAAAUCAACGGAAAAUCUGUAAUUUUGCCAAAAACAGGAGAGUUCCUAUGCCCAGGCUCGAUGUUUGUUGCUGAUUUUCCUUAUCUUAUCACCUCUCCAUAGGUAAAAUCAUGGCGAAGAAUAACUUUUACGAUGUAGUGACUUGUCUCUCACAGCUGUUACACCAUGGACCUGAUCAAAGCAAAACUUCAGAUAGAGUCCCACCACGAGAGCAUGCUACUGGGCAGCACAGAGCUCCACAGCACACCCACUGAGCAGCCAAAGGCAGAAGGCAGCCAGCUGGAACACACAGCAGACACUCAGCCCAUCAGCGCAGAGCAGAGGUCAGGCAGAAAACUCUCUGCAACAGCGUGUUCAUGCUUGGAAGGGAGAGAAGACAACAGAAGAAAGGGGUGAAGAGAGAAGAUCAAAGGUUUCUUGCUGAGAAAUAUGGCUAUUACCCAAUUCCUGUCUGAGAUGUUAAGGAGGCAUUCAGUUGCAGCCAUGAAAUGAUUAAAUAGAGUGUUCAGAGUGCAGAAAUGACAGCCUCAGUGUCGGGAUGUAAAGCAAGGAAUAAACCAGGAAUGGAAGUGAAGUGCAAAGAGGACCAAACACUCUCAGGCAUUUACCAGCCAUGUGUAUUUCAAGUAGGAAGCUUUCUGAGUAACAUCGAGGAGGAGGAUCAGGCUUAAUGUUUUGCUCCUAUUCAACAUCUGCACUUCAAAGACUCGGGUUAACUUGGAAGACUGGAGUUUGCAUUUGACAACUGCAGCAAAAUGAAGUGUUAGCUUGUAGAAAUUAGAAGUUAAUCUAUGCAAGCUGGAAAAAUAUUAUACACUACUUUUUAUUUAGAAGUUGAACUCAAGAAAAAUAAGAAGUGCACACAGAUCUACUAGAAUCACUGCCUCCAGUAAGUACAAUGAUCAUGAUAGUCAUUUUGCUUCUGCUCUUUAAAAAACAAACAAACGAACAAAUAUUGCUUUUUGGAAUAUCAAGAACACAUUUCUGCUUGCUUUUUUGGAAGCAAGUUUUCAAAAAAUGAACUUAACAAUUCAUUCCCUUAAAAGGGAUGCCUACAUAAUAAACUUACCAUCUUUUUCUGUUGAAGCGUAUGUGCUGAAUCGCUCAGGACUAGCCACUGUAAUGCCAGUUUCAUCUACAGCCUUUGGGACAUACAGACUCAGGUCUAUAUCAUUUACACACACAGGGUCUUCCACCUGAAAAGUACACCAGUAUUUUCCAUAUGAAUCACUCUUCUACACAGAUUAUAAUUUCUGCAGAACUUCUACAGACCUUUUCCAUCCUCCUUUUGACAUCGUAACGGGGAAAACAUUCCGUAUUAGCACGGAAUUAAGUACUUGAAAUUUUAAUUGUACCUUAAGAGCUCUCAAUUUAGGAGCAAGCCUUGCAAAAAACAAUGUCUUCAAUUUCCAAUGUAACUCAAAAUAUUAUUUUGGUUAGCUUUUUUUCCCCCUUUUUUUUUUUUCUUACCUCAUCAUCUUCUCCCGUUCCUUGAGUGUAGCGAGUGUCAUCUGCUUCUUCAUCAUCGGCAUCAACCAGCUCUGGUCGGAACUCAAAUACUUCCCGUCCACUGAUCUGUUAGCAGAGGAAGCAAUUAAUUUAUAAUUUCACAGAAUUUAUAAGGUUGUUCAAUAAAGAAAAAAAAAAGCAACAAUUCUAGUUUUUCUAAAAAAGCAGUCAGCUUCUAUUUACUCUUCACAUUAGGAAUGAAAGUAUAGAACGUACCACCAACGCCUUGCCGGCUUUAAAAUCUGCUUUCCUCCUUUCCAUAUCUUGCUCUGCCUUAUCAAUUUUUUCUUGUCUUUUUCUUCUCUUCCAUGCAAUAAAACACUCUAAUGUGAUUUUGGUAACGUUUGGUCCUAAGGCAGCACGCUGUCAAGUAGAAAGACUGAUUAAUGCUAGACAUUGUUUCCAAAAGCAAACCCUAGGGAUAACAAAUUAAGGAUACGUAAUUACUCUUUUCUAGAAACUAAUUGAAAACAUUUAUUUCUAAUUGCUUCUGCACUCUCACCGCUGUUAAACAUGCUUCAUCAACUUAAAGUGAGAUUCCACAUCAGUUUUCCAGUUGAGACAAAUCAACACUUAAGUGAACGUGGAAAAUGGAGGAAGAAGCCUGUGGUAUUAGUUUAAGUUGCUUUCCAUCUGGCACUGCCAGGGAAAGGUGUCAGCAGAGCUGCAGUAUAACAUCUUUGGGAGGGCCCUUUCUUCAUGCUGAUUCCUCUUAACAGAACCAUACAGUAAUGAAUGGCAGAAUUAAGCAAGAACUAAGGCAAUGGUGAAUUUGAGCUGAGGAAGAAACAGUUGUAAGAGUUAAAAGGACAAACAGCAGUAAGAAACAGAAGCCUCCUAAAACAGGAUUAUCCAUCUUACCCUAACAGUAAGUAUCCAGCUAUACUUUUAGAAACUCCCUCAGCUGAUUGAGAGGAAGAAAACUAGCUAAACAUAAACUAGCUAAACAAAAAACACGAAUUACUAUGCAUUCCACAGUCCAGCUUAUAUGGAUAUACAACCAUUCAAUGCUUUUCAAUAAUUCACUAAGAUGUUAUUGACAGUUUUCCUCCUCUGCAGUAUAAUGAAAACAAACACCACCAAGAGGUACCUAAUUGAAACUUUACCUCUUUUUCUAUUAGAUCUUCUAAGGAAAUUUCAUCUUGCUUUUCUUCCUUCUUUUUGUCUUUUUUUAGUACAAAACCUGGAGGAAGAGCAUGGCGAUACAUGCAAUUGUCUCCGCCGCCUGGACAGACCCAAAACCAUCCGUAUUUGUUGUUUUCAAUAGCAUCAAGAAAAUAUUUGCAGACCUGCAUAAAACAACAGUUGUUGGUCCUGUAUUCUCAUCCCCAGUAAUUUACACUAGCACAGCUUCUACAUGCCAAAAGUACAGUAAUUCAAAGCCAGCUGUGGUCAAAAGUGAAUAAACGUGCCAUGCACUCCAUUACAAAAAGUAGAUAUAAAAAGAGCAACUAACUAUUUAAAACCUCAAGUACUCAACAGCUUUUGCCCUUAAUAUAAUCUCAACUUAGAUAGGCUGACUUGAAAGACUAGUGACUGUACUACAGUAAACCCAGCAGCACAUGUAAAAGCAUGCUAAGGGUUUAUGUUUGGUCAUGAAAAUCGAGUGUACUUUUAAUCACAAUAAACAAUUUCAGAUGUUUCACAUUCCAACUCA